CCCACGCCACGAAACAAAAGCGUAGUUUUUGCAAAGCUCUUUCUUCUCUUCACCAUUUGGCAAGAUUGUGUGUGUUUGGCGCUCUUUCUGUCGCUCUCGCUCUGGCUCUCGCUCUCUCACACAAAUCAGUGAAAUCGAUCUCGGGGAAGUGAUUUGAUCUGAUUCCGCCUGUCUCUCUCUCUGCGUCUCAGAAUCCUUAACCCUAACAUUCUCGGUAAACAAACACCCCGCUGAAUCCUUGCAACCACCGCCACCCCAGUUCAUUCGAAUCCAUACCCAGAUACCCUCAUGGAAUCCAACAAGACCAGAUUAAAAAACAAGAACAACAAGAACAGGUUCUUGCUGUGCUUUAGACCGGUCACCAAGGACGGUCGGAGUCCCUUUAAAAGGUUUCGGCGUCCGGACGGACCGGGCCAACCAGCUUUCACGUACAUCGCUAUGGGAGAGAUGGAGGGCAUAGUGUUCCCGAAGAUAUUGCCGCCGGAUUUGGCAGCGGCUAUAGAUAAAGAAGAAGGUGACGGUGGCCGGAGAGGGAAAAGAUCGAACGGCAGGCUAUCGAGAAUUUUGAAAUCGGUUUUGUCCGGGACGUCCUCGGGCUACUUCGUGUAUUCACCCCUGUCAGGUAAACUUCGGACUAUGUAAAGCGCCCCCUCUACACGGAUCGGGUAAUAGUACUUCGGCUUCGCCUGCAGGCUGGCCCCAAAUAAUUGUUUGCACUCAAGGUGAUUCGAACCUUAGACCUCAUAGACUAUCACAAAGACUAAGGCCCUUACCACUUGAGCCAAUCCCUUGGGGUUUAUACUUUAUAUACUUGUCAAUCCCACUCCAUACGUUUUAUUGUACUCUGCUUUCUUUCCUGCUUGCUAUCUGUUAAACUGAUAAUCCAUGCAUACAUUGUCUUCAGCGGGCGAAGAGUAGUAGAAGAAAUCUUGGACAAAGAUCUUUCGGGUUAGAGACAUCGAACUCGAUGAGGAAAUAUCCAACGAAGAAACAAAGUUUGUCCGAUGAUGAAAAGCUGAGGGUUAAUUCAAAUGAUUCUGAUACGAGGAGGCCUUUGCCCGAAACAUGCAACUCGUUUAAACCGAGGCGGGAUAAUGCCCAAAAGCAUGGAAAUGAAGAUGGAGGUGGUUGUUUUGAUGCUGGCUUGUGUUUGUUUGUUAUUUGUCUUUUGCUUUUGCUUUUUUGGGGCCAGAGUUUCGCUACUUUAUGUACUUCAAUUUGGUUUUGCUUGAUUCCUCGGAGAGCUAGAUACUACGUAUCUGCAGGAGAUGGUCUUGACUUUGAGGAGUAUAAGAAGAAGCUCAUCAUGGAAGGACGGUUAGAAAGGAACCCCGCUCGCCGAGUCAACCCCUUUCAAAAACAAUAAUGCAAUUUUUAUUUUUUUUUAUUUUUUCAUUUUUUUUCCGAUCCUUGGGAUUAUCCCACAUAUGUCAUCUCUCUUUGACGAGAAGAUCAGUUUAGUUUUCUUUUCAAUGUAUGCAUGUACGUUUCAAUUUUCAAGAAAUGGAAGUGUAUAAAUAUAUUUCUCUA